rnacentral:rRNA from 1 species
AGCGGCGGACGGGUGAGUAACGCGUGGGUAACCUGCCUCAUACAGGGGGAUAACAGUUGGAAACGGCUGCUAAUACCGCAUAAGCGCACAGUACCGCAUGGUACCGUGUGAAAAACUCCGGUGGUAUGAGAUGGACCCGCGUCUGAUUAGGUAGUUGGUGGGGUAACGGCCUACCAAGCCGACGAUCAGUAGCCGACCUGAGAGGGUGACCGGCCACAUUGGGACUGAGCAUGGCCCAA